rnacentral:rRNA from 1 species
CCUACGGGGGGCUGCAGUGGGGAAUAUUGGACAAUGGGCGAAAGCCUGAUCCAGCCAUGCCGCGUGUGUGAAGAAGGCCUUCGGGUUGUAAAGCACUUUCAGUGGGGAAGAAAGCCUUGGGGCUAAUACCCUCGAGGAAGGACAUCACCCACAGAAGAAGCACCGGCUAACUCCGUGCCAGCAGCCGCGGUAAUACGGAGGGUGCGAGCGUUAAUCGGAAUUACUGGGCGUAAAGCGCGCGUAGGCGGUCUGAUAAGCCGGUUGUGAAAGCCCCGGGCUCAACCUGGGAACGGCAUCCGGAACUGUCAGGCUAGAGUGCAGUAGAGGAAGGUAGAAUUCCCGGUGUAGCGGUGAAAUGCGUAGAGAUCGGGAGGAAUACCAGUGGCGAAGGCGGCCUUCUGGACUGACACUGACGCUGAGGUGCGAAAGCGUGGGUAGCAAACAGGAUUAGAUACCCGGGUAGUC